rnacentral:piRNA from 1 species
UUACUCAUCAGGAGGAGAAAGUAAAGUCCA